CUACGGGAUGCACCAGUCGAGAAUCUUUCGCAAUGGACGAAAGUCUGACGGAGCGACGCCGCGUGCGGGAUGAAGGCCUUCGGGUUGUAAACCGCUGUCAGUGGGGAGGAAAUGCAUCAGGGUUCUCCCUGGUGUUUGACCGAUCCGCAGAGGAAGCGCAGGCUAAGUUCGUGCCAGCAGCCGCGGUAACACGAACUGCGCGAACGUUAUUCGGAAUCACUGGGCUCAAAGAGUUCGUAGGCGGCCUUUCAAGUCGGGUGUGAAAUCCCUCGGCUCAACCGAGGAAUUGCGCCUGAUACUGUUGGGCUUGAGGGGGAUAGGGGUGAGCGGAACUGAUGGUGGAGCGGUGAAAUGCGUUGAUAUCAUCAGGAACACCGGUGGCGAAGGCGGCUCACUGGAUCUCUUCUGACGCUGAGGAACGAAAGCUAGGGGAGCGAACGGGAUUAGAUACCCGGGUAGUC
rnacentral:rRNA from 1 species